rnacentral:lncRNA from 1 species
AUGCCCGGUUCCCGGUGCCCGGUGCCCGGUGCCCGGUGCCCGGUUCCCGGUGCUCGGUGCCCGGUAACCGGUACCCGGUGCCUGAUGCCCGGUGCCCGGUUCCCGGUGCCCGGUGCCGGUGCGCGGCACGGAGCUGUCCGCCGCGGCGGUGCUGAGCGGGCGCCGUGCCCAGCCGCCUGCCUCGGCCAACCGCCGCCGGUCCCUUCACCGUCCCCGCCACCGGGGCUCAUCCCCCGCCGGCCGCGACCCCGAGACGCGGAGCGGGCUCCCGGGCACACGGCGCCGCUCCCCCCGGCCCCGCCGGCUGCAGGCACCGGGCACCGGCACCGGGAGUGCGGGCACGGAGCCCUCGGGUUCCCUCGGGGAAGCCGCUUCAGGGAGAAAACUCGCGUGGGGGCAGCGUGCGCCGUGCCCCCGCGGCCCCACGGAUUUGGGGGAAAAUCCGGUGUUUUCGGGGCAGCGGGCACGGACGGCCCCGGCCGGGGUUGGAAGCGGCCCGACGGGAAGCGGCUCCGGCCCUGCCCCGACGAACCGGGCCCGGCCGGGGCAGCGGGGCCCCCCCGAGGUGCUCGUGGCCUCCCCGAGCCCCCCCAAAGCCCCGCCGACCCCGGCCCCGGCCCUCGCCGGUGCCCGCGGGGGAGCGGAGCCUCUUCCGACGGCCGCCGCCCGGCCCCGGGACGGGAACGGUUUCUCUGCGGGAAAAGCCCCGGGGCGGGGGGCUCGGAGCCGGGGGGGCUCCGGGCGGCCGGCGACUGCGGCGGGGCCGCCAAGGGGGCGAGGAGCCGGUGUUUGGGGCCGGUACCGGCACCGGGACCCGGAGAUGCGGCGGCGAAAGGCGGGAGCCCACCGGAAAGGGGAUGGGGGGGCAGGCGCCGGGACCCCCAGGGGGGCUGCGGGAGGAAGGGGGGGGACCGGCAUCUGCUCGCCCCCGGGGCUCCCGGGAAGGGCCCGGUGUGCCCGGUCUGCACGGCGGGGCCGGGCUUUAACGCCUCCGUUUGGGGCCGCGUUUUCUUUUUAAUUCCCGUGAUUUUGGCUCCCCAGAGCCCGGGCGGCCCCGCCGAGGCGAGAAGCUGCGGGUGCUGCUCGGGCACGGAGCGGCCCCGCAAUGCGGCCCCGCCGCCGGGCACGGCUCCGAGGGGAGCUCCGGUGCGCGGCCCCGGUGCGCGGCCGAGGUGCGAGGAACCGGUGCCCGGCCCCGGUUCCCCACCCCGGUGCCCGGCCUGCCCGCGCUCGGUGCUCCGCUCCCGUUCCCAUCGGAGGGAGCCGGGAGUUGCCCCCACAGCCCCCGCUGGGAUUUGGCACAAUUUGGUGUGA